UGAACAAUUGUCCAGACAGAGGCUUGAGUUUGCGAAUUGACGGUUUAUUGAACCAACUUUACACAGGCUACUGUUUGGGCCGUAGCACACGCCAAAUAGAUGACAGAUAACCCACAAGCCAAUCGUGACCUUCUCUUGUGAAGCCCAGACGUAAGAGAGAGAGAACAAAGGCUGAACCUGGUCUUAACUUCCAAUGCCCAACCCCCCUCCACGCCACUCCGCCAACCACCAGGAUGGCCGGCAUCAGAACAUUCCAGGCAUUCCCGUGAUUGGCAGAUAGCAGGUUGAUUGACAUGUCGGACCCCGCGAACACCGGGUACUGGUCAGUACAACACAACCACCUCCUAGCCUAGCACAUAACACACAGCUGUCUGUGCGGGUCGCUACAAUAUUUUGCCAAUUGUAUGAUCACACUAGCAGCGGGUAGAUAUAGUUGUUCCUUGUUCAAUAGAGCCAGUUGACUUGUCUCAACAAUGGCCUAUCUGCCAUGACAUUGCAGGAUAUUUAGCUUGACACAUUUUCCCUGGCUUGGUAACGACUACAGCCUGACCGGAGCCCUUACUUCCUUGUCCAAUUGCGUUCCCACCCUCGAAAGCGGGCUUUUCAAAACGGGGGCGGUAUUAGUUUCUACACGAGAGUUAUGUUACAGGACGAAUAUUUAGUUUUUGAAUAUUCUUUUACAUAAGAAACGCAGCCCUAUUUAUUUGAGCCGGAAUACACUGAAGAGGAGUUGUGACAAUGAGAAAAAUAAUUUCAAGACCAGCAAUCCGCUGCUCCUGACUCUGGGGAGCCACGGUCAGACAACGACUGGUGGUGCUUAUGCGGGUGCUGUCCAGCCAUGUCGACAAAGGAGGAAUGUCUGUGCUGCAACAAAUUAGAUCGCGGACAGGUCUUACUGGAGAGGGUCACUGCAGACCCCAUGGAUCAUAUACGUGUGACAGACCAUCGAAGUUUCGACACACGGAUAGAGGGAUGCUGGAGACGUUCUUCAGAAGCUCCUAGACCAACUGGACCAGCAGGAGAGCAAAUGACAAACAAACAAUGCCGCUUGGAUACAAAGAAAUUGAUGACUGAAGAGAUGUGAAAUGUCCCAUAACAACAAUCUCCCCUUGUAACAAAGUGACACCUCACUGCACCACCCAUACACACCAAAUGCAAGUAUUCCCUUUGUAGAACUGUAGUAUUUAUUAUAGGAGUUAGCAGUAUAUUUGUAUUCUACUGUAUAUACAGUUUGUCAUACAUUGCCAUAACUGUUCCUGCAUACCACUGUGUAAACUCACCUCAGUCUGCAGAGCAAAUAAACAUCUUGAAUACAAGCCAUUUCUACUUGGACAAACUAUUCUACUGUGUUAUUGAAAUAUGUUUACUUGCCAACAACUUAAAGUUUAAAUGAUACACCAACUCCCUGCAUCAAUAGUUUUAGCAGUAACAUUGUAGCUUGUUUAUUCAAAUACAUUUCAUGAAUAUCACAAUGACUUGAUCCAGAAGUUGAAGUCAACACUUUAUUGGUUUUUAAUGCAGCUGGAAUCAUUUAGUAACUUGUUAGUACACAAUUAUAUACAUAUGUGCAAGAGCAAGAAAAAUCUAUACCACAGUGCAGUUGUGAGCAUGCUAGGCAUUCUAUAUUAUACUACAACAUCAGUCUAACUGAAUAUGGAUGUUGUGUUAACUGAAUGUUCCAGACAGGCUCCAGAAUGUUCUUCAGCUGGUGAAUCUCAUCUGGUAUUGGGUAAUGGCAGCUGUUUUAGCAGGCUUUGGCGCUGUGGCAAUGUUGGCAGGGAUAUUGGGUUUGGGGAGCUGUAACUCUGGCUCCUUCAAGAGAACAGUCGGGUCCUUUCUGCACUCCAUAGCCAGCUGGACAAGCCUCUCCCUGAAGUGUUGGGUUCUGAAGAAGUGUAACCAUACAAGAAAUCAUGUUAAUAUGUAAACCAAAAAGAAUACAUGAGACUGGAAUGUGUUUUGUUAAAAGGAAAUGAACUGAAAAA